rnacentral:rRNA from 1 species
CAAUUGCGUAUAUUAAAGUUGUUGCAGUUAAAAAGCUCGUAGUUGGAUUUGUGGCGUACGGUGUGUUCCGGGCACUUGUUGUCUGAGUAACCUGCUGUUGCCAUCCUUGGGUGGAACCUGUGUGGCAUUAGGUUGUCGUGCAGGGGAUGCCCAUCAUUUACUGUGAAAAAAUUAGAGUGUUCAAAGCAGGCUUAUGCCGUUGAAUAUAUUAGCAUGGAAUAAUGAGAUAGGACUUUUUUGCUAUUUUGUUGGUUUGCGCAAAGAGGUAAUGAUUAAUAGGGACAGUUGGGGGUAUUCGUAUUCCAUUGUCAGAGGUGAAAUUCUUGGAUUUUUGGAAGACGAACUACUGCGAAAGCAUUUACCAAGGAUGUUUUCAUUAA